UGGGGAAUAUUGCACAAUGGAGGGAACUCUGAUGCAGCGACGCCGCGUGAACGAAGAAGGCUUUCGGGUCGUAAAGUUCUUUUAUAUGGGAAGAUAAUGACGGUACCAUAAGAAAAAGCCCCGGCUAACUACGUGCCAGCAGCCGCGGUAAUACGUAGGGGGCUAGCGUUGUCCGGAAUCACUGGGCGUAAAGGGUUCGCAGGCGGAAAUGUAAGUCAGGUGUAAAAGGCAGUAGCUUAACUACUGUAAGCAUUUGAAACUGAAUCUCUUGAGAGGAGUAGAGGUAAGUGGAAUUUUUAGUGUAGCGAUGAAAUGCGUAGAUAUUAAAAAGAAUACCGGUGGCGAAGGCGACUUACUGGGCUCAUUCUGACGCUGAGGAACGAAAGCGUGGGUAGCAAACAGG
rnacentral:rRNA from 1 species